UGGUAAUGUUAUAAAGGGUAGGAAGAAUACAAGGAACACCUGGUUCAUUCAAACCGUGUGGUCAAGAAAAUAGGUUUUAACAAUUGAUGAAUUAUCACCAGUAGGAACAUUUUAAAGAUGGGCUUGAAAUCUAAGACACGGGUAGAGAGGUAAUAGAAUUAGUAUAGGCAUCUGGGAGUUUUUGGACAGUUUGAAUGAAGAGGGGGAGUAAAAAUGGCUACCAGGCUUUUAUUUUGCAAUUCUAGCUUUUAGACUAUAAAAAGUCUUUUAUACACACACACAUGUAAAAAAUAAUAAUAAUAAUAAUAAUAAUAAUAAUAAAAAAAAAAAAAAAUUAUAGGGCCUCAUAAUAAUUAGUCACUUAGGAACCUCAGAAUUCUCAAGGUCAACCCUGCUGAAUUCAUCAUGAUUUUGUUCAUGUUAAAUCUACGGACCUUGUUGUAUCUGUUUCUUAUGUCUUUUGGCAGAGAAAACAUGGGAAUAUAGUUUUUGAUGAUGAAACAAAAUUGAGUUACUAUUACAAUGCAAUCUUCACAAGUAGCUUAUUCAUACCUUAAAAUCCCAACAUUUGUUUUUACAUGCAUAUAUGAAUAUGUAUGUUUUGCAAUGUAGUGGGCUGCCAAAGUAUUUAAAUGAACAAGGCUUCCAUAUUGUGGGUUAUUGUUGCAAUAGAAAAUUAUGGGGAAUUGGAUGAAUUAAAUGCUUCUGCUAUAUCAGAAAGUGAUAAGUUGGCUUAAUUCGACAAUUGACUAAGCAAUAAAGAUUUACAUUUCUUAGCUGCCAGCCAUUGGUGAGUUUCCUCAGUUGUAGUUGUGAAGAGUAAAAGUUGCAUUUUUUGUGUCCUUCUAAAUUAUUAUUAUUAUUGCAUCCUUGAACAAGGCAAGUAAUUUUGAUUUCAAUACACAGGGAAGAGUGUAUUCUUCAUUUUUUGUAUGGAGGUUAAUUUAUUAGUUGUUUGGUGAUCUGUGCUACCAUGGAAAUUGUGGUUAAUUCCAGGUAUGGAGUAUUUUUGGUAUUUACCAGUCAACUACAUGUGUAAAGAAGAUUGUAGACUGUUUUUUGUAGGUGCAGUGUAUAGACAGCUUUUGUUUCCUGACCUGUUGGGGCACAUCCUGCGAUUUACUUCUCUCACAAAGUUCUAAGGGCGAGACGGUGGGACCCUCAAGAUUGGGGUUCCACCUUUUAAAAUUGUAGACUGUUUGCAAGAUGAGAAAAUUGUAUCCAGUAUGAAAGCUGACAAGGUAAGUGUUAUUAUUUUAAUCCGUUGGAAAUGCUUUACCUUUGAAAAUACUAUUUGUAAGAGCUCCAACUAUUCUCAUACAAUGUAAUGUAAUGUAAGGGAUAGGGGAUAUAAUUUUAUCAUUGCUCUCUCUUUCUUAGUCCAUUGUGAG
rnacentral:lncRNA from 1 species